UUCAGUUAUUUGAGCUUUAGGCGAAUGGGGUAAUUGAGCAUACAUACAUAAUCCGCAUAAUUUAAUUUAGUUUAUUGCAUGAGAUUAAUUGCAUACAUUUGAAUGACUAACUUCACACUAAUUCUGAAUAGCCUUUGUAUGAUUUCGCCUAAUCAAUUAAAAUUAAUGCCGCAUUUUAUGGGAAGCUUUUAUCGGUAAUUGGUUCUAUCCUAUGUCACGCCUUUGAUAAAGACCGCAGUAAGAAUUUAAUUGUCCAUGAUGAAAUUGAAUUAGAUUAUUAUGCAUGUAAAUAUCUUAUAAAACAAGCAUUUCAUUUAUUUUUAGUUAUUACUCUAAAUUACAUGCACAACAUAUAUGAUUUGGUAUAAGACAUGUUUGAAUAAGGGAAGAAAUGAUAUCAAUGAAUAAAAGUCACACUGGGUAAUAAGAUUGUGUCGAAUUACUACAUAUUUACGUAACCCAGUCAAAUGAUAGUGAAACCGGUAUGUACUUGACGUGUUCCAGCUCCAGCUCUACAAGAUCUGCAUAUUUCACACACACACAAAGCGAGCGCGGGAAGUCCAUCGACACCAAAGUAAAACGUCUCGACAGGACAGUCAACUAAGAUUUGCGGUCUGGGCCGGGAUUUAGUUUUCAGUCUUUCCGGGACCAACUGAACGUUUAGCCGAAGCUUAGCAGAGCCGAGUGAAAGCUACUGGUUAGAAACUAUCGAUAUCGGCAGACAAGUACCGAAGCAAAAUCUUUACCAAGGUAGCUGCCAACACCGCCCACAAAUCUGAUAUCCACAGAAAUUGCAUCAAGUCUGUAGGAACCUUGCUACUUUACUUGCUCCUCUUCUUCUCGGUAUACAUUUAAUCUUUUGAUGGUUCGUCACAUGGAGGAAGAAUUACUUACCAUUGGUCACUCGCCGCGCAUAUUAACUUCACCAGGCACGCCAUGCUCGAUUGUAUAGUGAUAAGUUGGUUUGUUUUAUUAGGAUUGCACAAUUUGUAUUAUCCGCAUUAUUGUCAAUUUAUAUUCUCAAUUUAUGGUUUAUCGUGAAUUUAUAUAAAUAUACAGGUACGUAUUUAAAUAUAUUGUCUCCAUACGUGGCGAUAGAUAGACUUUUUAUCAAGAAGGUUCUCUUUGCAUAUGCCAAAAAUAUCUACAGAUGGAACCAUAUCCAAUAGUUCGUAUACUGAUAUUCCAAAUACGAUGACCAUCAUCACACUCUCGUAAAGUUGAAAUCCCGUUCGUGACUCGAGAUUGUACAUGAUCCACCACAAAGUGAUUUCGUCCAGGAAAAGAAUAACCUGUAUUUCAAUCCAGAUUUUGUCCAAUUUUUUCUUCAUUUCCUACGGAAAAUUUGAAAAAAUAUGUAAUAUUUUUACAAAAUAAUCUUAAUACAUUUUUAGCGAUGGUAGUCUUGACGUACUUCAUU